rnacentral:rRNA from 1 species
ACGAACGCUGGCGGCGUGCUUAACCCCCGCAAGUCGCACGGAAAGGCCCUGCUUUUGUGGGGUGCUCGAGUGGCGAACGGGUGAGUAACACGUGAGUAACCUGCCCUUGACUUUGGGAUAACUUCAGGAAACUGGGGCUAAUACCGGAUAGGAGCUCCUGCUGCAUGGUGGGGGUUGGAAAGUUUCGGCGGUUGGGGAUGGACUCGCGGCUUAUCAGCUUGUUGGUGGGGUAGUGGCUUACCAAGGCUUUGACGGGUAGCCGGCCUGAGAGGGUGACCGGCCACAUUGGGACUGAGAUACGGCCCAGACUCCUACGGGAGGCAGCAGUGGGGAAUAUUGCACAAUGGGCGGAAGCCUGAUGCAGCAACGCCGCGUGCGGGAUGACGGCCUUCGGGUUGUAAACCGCUUUCGCCUGUGACGAAGCGUGAGUGACGGUAAUGGGUAAAGAAGCACCGGCUAACUACGUG